AUACCUUUCUGAGCCUUUUGGCUAAGAUCAAGUGUAGUAUCGCACGGUAUCUGUUCUUAUUAGUUUAAUAUUUGAUAUGUGAGUCAUCAACUCACACGAUAUUAAGUUUAUUUUUUGAGGUAGCUUGUUGCUUGGGCUUUCGAGUGUCGCCUUGGCGUUGCACUACUGCCAUGGCUUGGCGCACUCCAC